rnacentral:rRNA from 1 species
AGAGCGAACGCUGGCGGCAGGCCUAACACAUGCAAGUCGAGCGCCCGUAGCAAUACGGGAGCGGCAGACGGGAUAGUAACACGUGGGAACGCGCCCUUCGGUUCGGAAUAACUCAGGGAAACUUGAGCUAAUACCGGAUACGCCCUUACGGGGAAAGAUUUAUUGCCGAAGGAACGGCCCGCGUCCGAUUAGCUAGUUGGUGAGGUAAUGGCUCACCAAGGCUACGAUCGGUAGCUGGUCUGAGAGGAUGACCAGCAUCACUGGGACUGAGACACGGCCCAGACUCCUACGGGAGGCAGCAGUGGGGAAUAUUGGACAAUGGGCGCAAGCCUGAUCCAGCCAUGCCGCGUGGAUGAUGAAGGCCUUAGGGUUGUAAAGUCCUUUUAACGGGGAAGAUAAUGACGGUACCGUAGAAUAAGCCCCGGCUAACUUCGUGCCAGCAGCCGC